rnacentral:rRNA from 1 species
GACGAACGCUGGCGGCGUGCUUAACACAUGCAAGUCGAACGGAAAGGCCUCAGCUUGCUGGGGUCCUCGAGUGGCGAACGGGUGAGUAACACGUGGGUGAUCUGCCUUGCACUCUGGGAUAAGCUUGGGAAACUGGGUCUAAUACCGGAUAUGAACUGCCUAUAGUGUGGUGGUUGGAAAGGUUUUUCGGUGCAUGAUGAGCUCGCGGCCUAUCGGCUUGUUGGUGGGGUAAUGGCCUACCAAGGCGUCGACGGGUAGCCGGCAUGAGAGAGUGAGCGGCCGCAUUGAGACUGAGAGGCGGCCCAGACACCGACGGGAGGCAGCAGUGGGGAAGAUUGAACGAUCGGCGGAGGCCGGAUGCAGAAGCGCCGCGUGGCGGAUAACGGCCUUCGGGUUGUAGACUCCUUUCGAAAGGAACGAAGCUUUUUGUGACGGUACCUGAAUAGAAAGCACCGGCUAACUACGUG